UACGGAGGGUGCAAGCGUUUAUCCGGAUUCACUGGGUUUAAAGGGUGCGUAGGAGGGCAGGUAAGUCAGUGGUGAAAUCUCCGAGCUUAACUCGGAACUGCCGUUGAUACUAUCUGUCUUGAAUCCCGUGGAGAUGAGCGGAAUAUGUCAUGUAGCGGUGAAAUGCUUAGAUAUGACAUAGAACACCAAUUGCGAAGGCAGCUCGUUACACGAAGAUUGACUCUGAGGCACGAAAGCGUGGGGAUCAAACAGG
rnacentral:rRNA from 1 species